CUGAGACACACUGCCAUCCAUGAGUUAAACUGAAAAACAAAAUAUUUAAUCUUUGUGACACUUAAAUAGAAUUUGCAUAAUAAUUUGGAACAGGGUGUAAAAAAUAAAUAAAAAGUAAUCGGUUAAUGUUUGGGGAGGGGAGGGGAGGAAACAGGAAGGGGGCUGUCAGUGUGUGUAUGUCUGUCAUUGUGUAUGUAUGUCUGUCAGUGUGUAUCUGAGUGAUUGUGUAUGUCAGUGUGUAUGUGCGUGAUUGUGUGUGUGUAUGUCUGUCAGUGUGUAUCUGAGUGAUGGUGUGUGUAUGUCUGUCACUGUCUGGCUGUCUGCCAGUGAGUGAGAGUGUGUGUGUGUCUGCAGGGACGUGUCUUCCACGAGGCAAACAAAGCAUCUGCCGUGGGCGGC